CUUCCCAACAGCUCCCAGGAGCAUAGACUCAGAGUCAAGCAGCAGAGCAGGUUCAGACCCAAUCCUGCUGCUGAAAAAUUUGGCGGAUUUGACUCUUCUGACUUCACUUUCCCGUCUGUGAAAUGGGAGUAAUAAUACUAUGAACUUCUCAUCAUUGGUCUGAUUGAGUUAUAUUGAUAAACAGCACUGGUAAGCAGUAGGCAUUAUUUGAAGUGUUUUAGAUAAAUACAAAUCUGCAAAUUGAGGGGGGAAAAGAUGUCAUUUAACUGUCCAGCAAAAAGAAAACGGUUAAGGGAAUUUGGUGACAUCCACCCCAUGGAAUUUUCCGGGCCAUUUACACUGAGAAAUGUGAUGUGACUGCUAUGGAAUACUGCUGUGCCUGAAGAGAAAAAAGAUCAUGCUUCAACUUUUUACAGUGGCCAAGACAUGGAAGCAAUCUAGAUGUCCAUCAACAGAUGAAUGGAUAAAGAAGAUGUAGCAUACAUAUACGCACAGACACACACCCACAGACACAAUGGAAUACUACUCAGCCAUAUAAAAACAGUGAAAUAAUUGUUGGCUCAACAUGGACGGACCUAGAGAUUUAUCACACUAAGGCAGACAACAACAAAUUCCAGGUGAUAUCACUUAUGUGUGGAUUCUAAAAUACGACACAAAUGAACUUACUUAUAAAACAGAAAUAGACUCUCAGAUCUAAAAAAAAAAAACAGCAGUAACCAAAGGGGAAACAGAGGUGAGGGAUAAAUUAAGAGUCUGGCAUUAGCAGAUACAAACUGCUAUAUAUAAAAUAGAUAAGUAACAAGGUCCUACUGCAUGACACAGGGAACUAUAAUCAGUAUCUUGUAAUAAACUAUUGAUAUGAUGGCAAAGAAUAUGAAAACGCAUGUACAUAUUUAUAUAUACAUAAGUACAUACACUGGAGAAAGAAAUGGCAACCCACUCCAGUAUUUGUGCCUAGGAAAUCCCAUGGACAAAGUCUGAGCCUGGUGGGCGACAGUUCAUGGGGUCACAAAGAGUCAGACACGACUUAGCAACUGAGCACAUUUAUCGGCACACAUAACUGAAUCACCUCCCCAACAGAAACUAGCACAACACUGUCAAUCAACUAUACUCCAAUUAAAACUCUUUGCUCCCUGGACCAGGGGUUGCAAACUUUUUCUGGAGUGGGUGAGACAGUAAAUACUUUAGGCUUUGAAAAGCCAGAUGGUCUCUGUCACAAUUAUUCAAAUUUGCAGCUGUAGUGUGAAAACAGCCAUAGACAGUAUGUAAAUAAUGAGUGUGGCCGUGUUCCAAUAAAACCUUGCUGACAAAAUCAUGUAGCAUUUAGACAGUGGGCUGCAGUUUGCCAACCCUUGCUGUGCAAAUUGUACAAAAACUGUGUCAAAAAAAGAUAAAGACUGAAAGGAACACGAGAAAAAAUAAGAAGUUCUCUUAGAGCCCUGGAAUCACAGUGAGAGUAUCAGAGGCACCAACAAGCAUGCAAAGGCUGGCCACUGAGCCUGGGGCACAGCAGACCCUCCUUAUAAAGCACCACCUCUCAGAUCCACAGGACUCAGGCCAGACCGUGCUCACCGUGGUCUCUAUCAUCCCCAGGAAUGAGUUGAUUCUAUGAAAGAACAAGAUUGCAUUGGCUGUUAGGAAUGGCUGGGCCCUUAGGAGGGAAAAUGAAAGACUGAGGAAUGCUGUCUGCACCCUGUACACCCUAAGAGUCCUCUGAAGUGGACAGCCUCGGCUGGGUCCACUCCAGCCGCUCACGCACCCACGGAUGGGCUUCGGCCAAGAACACCUGAGCCUGGGUUGACUCACCAGUAGCUGCGCCAGAUCCAACGAGCCCCAGUGCCAGGGUGAAGGCGGGGGAAGUGCCGAGCUCACUUCCAAGUGACCCACACAGUCACCAAAGUCCCCUCCCAGCGAGGGAGCACCGGGGCAACAGGGAGUGCUCAGAGAGGCUGGAGAAGGAAAUGACUGGAACCAGGACUAAGCACCAGCGUGGAGCUGGGAAUGCCUCGUCCAGCUGUGACCACGUCAGGCCCUCACAGCAGCUCUGCAGGGAGGGUAUGACCAGCCCCCUUGGACUGUCGAAUCAGCCAGGCCCACGGGGCUUAUGUGACUUGCCAAGACCACACUGCAGGUGGCAGGACCAGGGUCCCAGCCCAGGUCUGUCUCAUUCCACCAUUCCAGGCUGUUGGCCCCACACCUCAGGGCAAGGAGCAGAGGGAAAAUCAGGCAAAGUAGAAGGUCUAACUCUCCACUGCAUAGGAAGGCAGGUGACACCUUGCUCUGUGGGCUAAACCACUGAUUAAGGAUCCCUUUGCAGCUCAUGACUCAGGCUCACACAUACCAAGCGCAAUUAGGAGUGUAGCACGCGUGCCCCCACUUUACAGAGAAGGGGUAUUAGUUGCCCAGUCGUGUCUUGACUCUUGGCGACCCCAUGGACAGAAGCCCACCAGGCUCCUCUAUCCAAGGGACUCUCCAGACAAGAAUAAUGGAGUGGGUAGCCAUUCCCUUCUCCAGGGGAUCUUCUCAACCCAGAGAUCAAACCCACAUCUCCUGAAUUGGCAGGCAGAUUCUUUACCAUCUGAAUCAGGGAAGCCCAACCGAGAAGGGUAUUGAGGCCCCAAAGGACAAAAUUAAAGGGUUCACUAUGGGCCCCCUCCCAGCUCCCCGAGCUUUGCGCUGAGACAUGGUCCUAGGAAUGGGGCGGUCUAAGGCACCCACCUCCCCAGCCAGACUCCUCCCGCCCAGGCCAAGGACAUGUUCAUCUCACUCAGGCGAACUGAAGGGACGUGGCUGCCCAAGGAGAGCGGCUUCCAGGCCGAAGGGCCCAGAUCUCAGCCGCAAACAUGUGCCUCUACAGCUCCUGAAGCAAAGUCGGCUCCAGCUAGGAGGUGCUUCCAACAGCAGACAAGUAGAGGAGCUUCUGGGGACCACCCCUCCCCUCCUCAAGGGAGCACGUCGCCAAGCAAAGAUCGAGGCCUUCAGGUGGUUUUAUCCAGAAGGAAGUGGAGAUGAGACACCACAGAAUUGACUUCUUCAAAAAUCCAUGUCCUAAAAAUACUUCUGAGCAAAGUUGAGUUUGAAAUCAACAAACAGAUAAAUAGGCAAGUUAUGCAAACCAGGCUCAAUGGCUGCCUGGUUCUGAGGAAAGGAAUUUAACCCGGCAACCCCAAACUGGCUCACGUCCAACCUACGACAACCGCCGGCUUGUGGUCACCAAGUUCUCGACAGCUCUCGGGUCCAGGCUGUAAAAGGGUGUGGGCAGUGCAGGGUGCUCCAAGGCGCGCCCCAUCUCUGGGGAACCUGUGGCAUUCGUGGACCCUUAUGCUGGCCACUCAGGUUGGAUUUCCUUUGAGGAAUGGCCUGGCAAUGUGAAAGCCUUUGGGGAUUGCUGAGAAAGAACUAGAAGCCUGGUAAGGAGGCCCGAGCUCUGGGUCUGACUCACCACGUCCCGCCCAGAGCGCACGCCCAGCCCGGAAAGGCCAAUGUAGGCUGAUGCCUGAGCCCUGGGAUCCGAUAAUCUGAGUUCAGUUCCUAACUCCGCUGAUAGCUAGCUGAGGACAGGUGAGUCAACCUCAUUGUAAACGGUACUAUCGGAGCACACAUCAUGGAACUGUUGAGAAAACAGAGAAAACGCAGUCUUCAGGAAGGGGCUGCACGCGUGGUGAGUCGCUUCAGUCCUGUCUGACUCUUUGCAACCCUAUGGACUGUAGCCCUCCAGGCUCCUCUGUCCAUGGGAGUCUCCAGGCAAGAAAACUGGAGUGGGUUGCCAUGCCUUUCUCCAGCAGAUCUUUCCGACCCAGGGAUGGAACCUGCACCUCUUAUGUCUCCUGCAUUGGCAGGCGGGUUCUUUGCCACUAGUGCCACCUGACAAGCCCUUGUAAGGGCUAAACGGAUGCUAACUGACAGAUAACCAGGUGAGGCAGCUCACAGGGUACCCUGACUCCAUCAGCUUAGACCUUCAUUCAUCCAUUGAUCCAUUCAUUCUUCCAUUCCGUAAAGGUGUGUCGAGCUGCUACUAUGACCAGACAGCUCUCAGGACAGAAAAAAAAUCUCACCCUCCAGGAGUCUUCAGUUAGAUGAGAUAGAAGACAAGCUCCAUGGUAAGUAAAUAACUUAGAUAACUUCAGGUAGUGAUAAGCGCUAGAGAGACAAAGAAACAGGGAGAUAGGGCAGAGUGGUGUGGGGGUUGGGGACUGGGUAGGCUUACCGGGUGGGCAGGACAGUCUCCUGGAGUGUGUGGCUGUGGGUGAGAUUUCCAUGAAAAGGAGCAGCCUCCCUGAAAGGUCUGGAGGAGGCACUCUUUAGGCAGAGGGAGGAGCAGGAAGGAAGACCCAGUGGGCAAUGCUGGGCAUGCUGAGCAGAGACAAUGAACAGCAGGUCUGUGUCCCAGAGAAGCCAAGGGAUGUGCCCAGAGCUCCGAGGCCAGUCCCCAGAGAGGCCAGGCAAGUGGACUGUUCUCCAAGGAGAUGGCAGGAAGAGAAGAAGGGGGUGACAAGGCAAUGAGAUGGUUGGAUGGCAUCACCGACUCAAGGGACAUGAGUUUGAGCAAGCUCCGGGAGUUGGUGAUGGGCAGGGAAGCCUGGCGUGCUGCAGUCCAUGGGGUCACCAAGAGUUGGACAUGACUGGGCGACUGAACAACAACAAUCAAGGCCCUGAGGAAGGCCACAAAGGGAGCCGGCGGGUGCCACCAUCUCUCCCCAGCCUCAGGUCACAUCUCCGGAACCCACCUUUCUCUUCUGUGUCCUGGGAAUUACUCUGAUGUGCCCUGCCCACUUCAUUCAGGGGUGCUGUGAGAAUCAGCUCCCCUCAAGUUUGUAAGAUCUUAUUUUAUGUUGUAAAGCCUUUUCAUUAAAUAAUAAUAAGCCCGCUCUCUCUGGCUGGGAUGUGAGAAUAAAUAAUCCUGUGACCCUGCCUUCAAGGAGGUCCUAAGCUAGUUGGGAAUCAGACAUGAAAAAUGAAAAUUAUCUAUCACGUGUGAAGUGUAAUGAGACCAUGAAAACAGAACCUGUCUGAAUGGUCGAGGAUGGCUUUUCGGAGGAGGUGAGGUCUAGCCAGGUGUUCGCUGGGGAGGUAACAGCUGGGCAGAGGUAACCGCGGUAGCAUAGGUCUGGAGGUGGUAAAGACGAGGAUAGGUAUGGGACCUCCUGGGACCUGGAGGCAGCCCAGUGGUAGAAAGCAUGAAAUGUCAGCCCGUAGGCUGGAGGCCUGGGACUUAAUCCUUAGGUCAAGGGGCUCACUGGAAGGAGAUAAGCAGGAAUCACCUGAUUAAGUGACCUGGCCUCUCCUGGUGGGAGAAAGGGGGCAGACUGUAGCUGCCAGGCUGAAGGUCCCCAAACACCUACUGCGAGGCUGUGGUUCCUGGAUGAGAGGAAACAUCCAAACUUUAAGAUACCUUGCUCAGUCGUGUAUGACUCUUUGUGACCCCAAGACUGCAGGCCACCAGGCUUCUCUGUCCAUGGGAUUUUCCAGGCAAGAAUACUGGAGUGGGUUGCCACUUCCUACUACAGGGUCAAGGCGCCUUAGAGAUCUUCUAACUCCAACCUCCCAUUUUAAAGGUUAAAGAGCAGGAAACAGAGACUGGCCCAGGUGAAGGUCAAGUAGGUCUGUGAAUGGCAAGCCCUUCGCAUCAUCACAGACAGGCCAACUCUUUGCAAUAACAAGGAAA